rnacentral:rRNA from 1 species
CAGCAGCCGCGGUAAUACGAAGGGGGCUAGCGUUGCUCGGAAUUACUGGGCGUAAAGGGAGCGUAGGCGGAUCGUUUAGUCAGGGGUGAAAUCCCGGGGCUCAACCUCGGAACUGCCUUUGAUACUGGCGAUCUUGAGUAUGGGAGAGGUGUGUGGAACUCCGAGUGUAGAGGUGAAAUUCGUAGAUAUUCGGAAGAACACCAGUGGCGAAGGCGACACACUGGCCCAUUACUGACGCUGAGGCUCGAAAGCGUGGGGAGCAAACAGGAUUAGAUACCCCUGUAGUCCCUGUCUCUUAUAA